UUUCUUCAAAAAAAAAAAGUAAUAACUGUGGGAGCAAUAAUACCCAAAAUGUGUAAUUGUCAUUGUAUAAAAGAAAGGAAAAGAAAGUUACCUAAAAGAUAUAACUGCAUAUAUAUUUAAGUGUAUAAGACAGAUAACCAUAUUACUGAGUUUUGUUGGAUCAUUGUAGAAAACUGUUUGCAGUCUCACUGUUUGAAAGUCCCCUCUGUAUGCUUUAAUUUUGUAACUUCAACAACUAUUUCUAAGAUGAAAAUAUGUAAUUAACUAGUGAUUUCCUAUUGUUUAUUUUUUCUGAAAUUCUUGUACCCUUUUUAUGUUUUUUUCUUUAUUCUCCUUAAAUAAAAAUUUUUAAAAAAGAAAUGGUUACAUGUACAUAUUACAGCAUGUUUGUAUCUCUUUUAGUCCCUUUACCUGGAGCUGGGCAUGGUGACACAUUCCUGUGAUCUCAGCACUCCAAAGAUUGAGAAAGGAGGAUUGAUGUAAGUUUGAGAGAUGUCUGGUCUACAAAGUGAGCUCAAUGCCAGCCUAACUGAAUGGUAAAACUGUUUCUCAAGAAGAACAAAUUUUUAAAAAAUGAAUUUCAAAUAAUCCACCACCUCCUUCCCUCCUCUAUUAUGCACCUUUAUAAACAGAAAAUAGCAUCAGUGUUGUAUGGACAAGCAAGAAGAUUGUAGAAUUCAAGAAAUAACAGGAACACAGGACUUCAAGUUUCAGAGAUUAAAGGAAGCCAGAAGCUGACAGGAAGGCCCUCUCCACACUCUCCUGAUCUGCAGAGCAUGGUGGAAUCUUAGCUGAGAAGCAGCCUGAGAUCUUACACAGUGGAUACAGAGGCCUCAGCAAGAGUGACUUUGUGAUGAGCAACACAUGGACACUCAGUGGUGGUUUCAAUUUCUGAUCCUGUGCAAGACACCUGUCCACUGAGGACCAGGAUAUCAGAACACUAAGGCUGAUAUGAGUCCUGUACUUGGAAUACAUCAAAGCUGAAAUGCCCCCAUGGCAGCAGACAAGUUCCUUCCUCAGAUUCCUCUCCAGCAAGGUGUGGAGAUGGAAUCAGAAGAUAGUGUCACAGGCAAGUGAGGGGACAUUCUGUAUCAGGAAUCCUAUGAGGUCUGGAAACGCAUUGAGGUACCAAAUGGGGAUUCUGCAGAAGACAGCAGCAACUGGCCCGGAAACACCUGCUCUUCAUUUUCAGGAUUCUGCAGUCUCCUCAGGGUGUCUUUGCCUAUUUGUGGAGCCCUCCAUCCCUGCUGUUCUUUCUAAGAUGGGGAUGGAUUUCCUUAGGCUUCAGUGAGUAUUGGCAGGGAUCCUGUAAGGGAGGACAAUGACUCCAGUUCCUCCUUAACCACCAUGACAAAGAUGCCAUGCAACUAAGCAAUUCCCUUCUCAUCUCAAUUGCACUCUGGUGUCUGGUGACCAUGUGUGAUCUCUGAAGGUACCUGUGUAUGCCUGUGAAAAGGGUGGCAGGCGUAGAGACAAGUUGGCUUGUUCUCAGGGCUCUUACCUAUGACCCAGCAGAGCAGGAGAUACGCAAGACUGAUAUUUUGAUGCAGUGCUAUUAUUACAGAGGCACUAAGCUGGUGCCAACCAAGCUGUGUAUCCUUGCCUGUGAUGUAUUGAUCACUCUGGGUAAGCAUUGUACCUAAGCCAAUGUGGGAAGCCUUCUUGUAUACCACAGUGAAUCAGGCAUUUUCUGGUCAGAUAGGCUUGUGAGCUGUGCCAAAUUAACUAGGAUGCCCUUCACCCAUGUACCCUCACUCUGGCCUGAAUGUGGUGUUGUGAUGAGAUCCCCAGUCUGAAGUACAUGCUAGAGAGGAUAAAUCAGCCAUGUAGCUUUCUUAAGUGUUAGGAAAGGUGGAUAUAUGUGGGGAACAAUGUGGACACAAAGUCAGUUCAAAGCAUCUGGUGACUGCAGCACUGAAUAGGACCUGUAAAUAUUUGUCUUGCUAUGAAAAUGACUGCUCCCUAGGGGAAUCAGAUGGGGGCUGGAUGGACCCAGCACAAAAUUGGUUUGCUUUUAUUUUUCACUUUUGUUUGAUGUUAUCUGUUUGUCAACUUUUCUUUCUUUUUAAAUUUAAAACAGCUUCAUUGGAAUAAAACACACACUAUACAAUUUAUGAACUCAAUGUGUAUGGUUCAGUUGCUUUUUGCAAAAUAAUAGAGUUGUACAAUCCUGACCGUAAUCAAAUUGAAACCACUUUUCUUAUCCCAAAGCAAAACACUAACCACUACCUAACAACACACAAUCCUUCCUCUCUAAAC
ensembl:lincRNA